ACACCCUUCAAUUAUCAUUUAUUCCUUUUUCCUAUGUUGAUAUUUUAGCUUAGAAAAUGGAGCAAUUGAUUGAUAGUUGAGGUGUGUUU